UACGGGGGGGGGCAAGCGUUGUUCGGAAUUACUGGGCGUAAAGGGCUCGUAGGCGGCCAACUAAGUCGGAUGUGAAAUCCCCAGGCUCAACUUGGGAACUGCAUCCGAUACUGGAUGGCUUGAAUUCGGGAGAGGGAUGCAGAAUUCCAGGUGUAGCGGUGAAAUGCGUAGAUAUCUGGAGGAAUACCGGUGGCGAAGGCGGCAUCCUGGACCGACAUUGACGCUGAUGAGCGAAAGCUAGGGGAGCAAACGGGG
rnacentral:rRNA from 1 species